rnacentral:lncRNA from 13 species
GGCCACGUAACUCAACUGAAGCAGAGUCCACGAACUAACCAUGCCUCACUAUGGCUGCUCUGGGCCUGACCUUCUUGGCUUAGGGGGAGGUGAUGUCACCCAGCGCUUCCUGCAGCUGCUGUAGCCUGAGAAGUUGCCCUCCACCCCCAGACCCCAGAGAGGUGCUGGAGUUAAGAGCCAGUGCGUGUGGGUUUCAUGACCAAAAUGUCAUUGACUUGUGGCUGCACGAAGAAAGUGGUAUUCAUCAUAGCAAAUCUAGCAUUUGUCAAGUGUCCCUGCCCAUGCCACUGUCUAGCACACCUGCUCUGGCUUGUGGAACCCACUGUUUCUUGGGCUAUUCUCUAGCACAUUCUGUCCUAGACCCCAUGGGGAAGUCAUGAAAAUUGUAUACCUUCUUUCCAGUAAAAGCAAAUCGUUCUGAGUUGGUCAGAAGGUGUAGAAAAUUAGGAAACUGGCUUUUGCCAUGGGAUACAGAUGAAUCAGACCUUCUCACAUGUGAAUUGUCACAGCUUCGAAGCAUCUCUGGAUAACAUGUGACUUACUGGAUGAACUAUAAUUGAAACUCACAGGUAUGGAAUGAACAUUAUAGGCAAAACUGCUUUUUUCUAGGCAAGGAAUUCUAUGUGGAUUUCAUUUCCAUCCCAUGUAAUCCUCACAACAAUCUUAAAAGUGACUUUUUGACAAAUGACACUGUGACUUGAGAAGUUAAAUAACUUACCAAAAAUCACAUGCCACUGAGUAGCAGAAUCAGGAUCCAAGCUCAGGUUUUCCAGUCUAAAAUUCCUGCUACAUCACUCUUUUUUUAUGCUGCCGAAAAGCACAGACGUCCCCCUUGGGAGCUACAGGGAAAGCUGGGCCCUUUGCACAGACUCAGCUCAAUCCAUAGCUCUGCCAUGAACUGGCUGUGUGACCAUCAGCAUGUUACCUAGCCUAUUUGAGCCUGCUCCUUCAUCUGUAAAACGAGGCUGGUAGCAGUACCAUUUUAUAUAGCAGUUGUGAAGAUUAAUGAACUAAUAUGUAGAAUACUGCUUAGAGUAGUACUAGGCAAAUAGUAAACCCCCAGGAAAUAUUAGCAAUUAUUAAUUGCUUGAAGUUCUCUGCCCACUUCCCUGAGCUCAGAGUCUUCUACUGCACGAGGCCUACUUUUCUGAGUUGAGAGCAUGAGAGACAUGUUUUGUUAUUUAGUACAAUCAACUUCUAGGGGGACUGUGGCCUAAUUAAUUACAGACUACUUUUUUGAAUGCAAGAUUUUUAGAAUGCUUUGUGGCAAUUUUCUUUCCCACUUAUAUUUAAUUUUGGCAAUAAAAAAGCAAAAUUAGCUUAUUUUUCUUCA